AGGACGAACGCUGGCGGCGUGCUUAACACAUGCAAGUCGAACGGAAAGGCCCGCUUGCGGGUACUCGAGUGGCGAACGGGUGAGUAACACGUGGGCAACCUGCCCUCAGCUCUGGGAUAACUCCGGGAAAACCGGUGCUAAUACUGGAUAUCGACUUCUGCCUCGCAUGGGGUGUUGUUGAAAGUUUUUUCGGCUGGGGAUGGGCCCGCGGCCUAUCAGCUUGUUGGUGGGGUGAUGGCCUACCAAGGCGACGACGGGUA
rnacentral:rRNA from 1 species